UUCAACUUUCAUAUUUUCAUCCAAAAAGUGCAAGUCUUAUUAUCGUGGUCGUCGGAGGUUGUGGGUUAGGAGCGGAGUUCGUGGGCUAGGAGCGCGCCAAGUAAGAAUCUACUCGGCACCCAACAAAUUCUCGUGGUCAUCGG